UGGGGAAUUUUGGACAAUGGGCGAAAGCCUGAUCCAGCCAUGCCGCGUGAGUGAAGAAGGCCUUCGGGUUGUAAAGCUCUUUUAGUCGGAAAGAAAGAGUUGCAAUGAAUAAUUGUGAUUUAUGACGGUACCGACAGAUAAAGCACCGGCUAACUACGUGCCAGCAGCCGCGGUAAUACGUAGGGUGCGAGCGUUAAUCGGAAUUACUGGGCGUAAAGGGUGCCCAGGCGGUCUUGCAAGUCAGAUGUGAAAGCCCCGGGCUUAACCUGGGAAUUGCGUUUGAAACUACAAGACUAGAGUGCAGCAGAGGGGAGUGGAAUUCCAUGUGUAGCAGUGAAAUGCGUAGAGAUGUGGAAGAACACCGAUGGCGAAGGCAGCUCCCUGGGUUGACACUGACGCUCAUGCACGAAAGCGUGGGGAGCAAACA
rnacentral:rRNA from 1 species